rfam:Aedes albopictus isolate Foshan contig66970, whole genome shotgun sequence.
UGCCCAGCAGCUCCUAUCCCUACCUCCACGCGGUACCGGCCGGAAACUAUGAGCAACCUUAGGGAAGAUCGGGUAACCAACCCCGGUGGGAACUUUGGUCGUAGGCUGACAGGGAAGG